rnacentral:rRNA from 1 species
UGGAGAAUAUUGGACAAUGUGCGAAAGCCUGAUCCAGCCAUGCCGCGUGUGUGAAGAAGGUCUUCGGAUUUUAAAGCACUUUAAGUUGGGAGGAAGGGCAGUAAGCGAAUACCUUGCUGUUUUGACGUUACCGACAGAAUAAGCACCGGCUAACUCUGUGCCAGCAGCCGCGGUAAUACAGAGGGUGCAAGCGUUAAUCGGAAUUACUGGGCGUAAAGCGCGCGUAGGUGGUUCGUUAAGUUGAAUGUGAAAGCCCCGGGCUCAACCUGGGAACUGCAUCCAAAACUGGCGAGCUAGAGUAGGGCAGAGGGUGGUGGAAUUUCCUGUGUAGCGGUGAAAUGCGUAGAUAUAGGAAGGAACACCAGUGGCGAAGGCGACCACCUGGGCUCAUACUGACACUGAGGUGCGAAAGCGUGGGGAGCAAACAGG